rnacentral:tRNA from 1 species
GAAGUGGCUCAGUUUGGUAGAGCACCUGGUUUGGGACCAGGGGGUCGCAGGUUCAAAUCCUGUCUUC